AUGGACGACACGAAUUACUUCGGAGGAAAUACGUUGGAUAGGUCGAGCGAAUUAAGGACGAACUUAACAAUGCUAGCAAAUAUGAUAUCCAGUGAGAAUGCUAAGUUCUUGGUUUUUAAACGUUGUAAUCCACUGGUUGAAAACAUUGGUGAGGAAUUGAAGUUAUGUGUGUUUAACUAUCAAGACGUGAAUGCCCUAUUAUUGGAUCUUGUAGAUGGUGAUAUAGACACUUUGAAAUCACGUUGGCCAGUUAAUUUAGUGUUUCUUGGGAAAGAACGAAAUGAUGCGAAAGCCUUUUGGUUUGCGUUUAAUACAGAAAAUGAAAGCAAGUCUAUUAUGACGUCAUCACGCGUGUUUGCUCACCAACGGUAUGAUCUUUUCCGUUUGCGCGUAGAACACGCUUCAAUUGUCAGUCAGGCGAAAUCUCUUUUUCAUUGGUUAGAUCGUUAUCGCUUUUGUGCAACAUGCGGAAAGAAAAUGAUAACCGAAGAAGCAGGGUAUAAACGUACUUGUCUCGAUAAUGCGUGUAGAAGUAAUCGAGGCGUACACAACACGUGUUAUCCGCGCACAGAUCCUACCGCCAUCAUGUGUGUCGUGUCUUCAGAUGGCGAGAGAUUUUUGCUGGGAAGGAAGAAAGUUUUCCCUCCCAAAAUGUAUUCAUGUCUUGCUGGCUUCAUUGAACCUGGUGAGACAGCGGAGGAUGCUGUGGUCCGUGAAACAAAGGAGGAGAGUGGCAUUGAUGUGACAGAUGUUACGUAUGUUUCGUCUCAACCCUGGCCAUUCCCUUCCUCGUUGAUGAUAGGUUUCACGGCCGUUGCAACUUCUGAGGAUAUCACCAUAUGCGAAGAAGAGAUGGAGGACGUAAAGUGGUUUCCGAAGACGGAAGUAACUCUGGCUUUACAAAACGAAUCAAAGAUUUUAACGAUUCCACCAAAGCAGGCAAUCGCUCAUCAACUAAUAAAGACGUGUGUCUUAAAAAGUAAAACUAAUAAUAGUCCACCAAAGUUUUUGGUAUUAUGUCAUUGACAUCACACCUCCUUGACGGCGCAUGCGUUGCGGAUACAUCUCUCUCGUUGGGUUUGUUGCGUAACGUUAAAGCCAACUUUCUCCAAAUGAACUUCAAAAAACGAAACCUCGAAUAUCACAGGUAUUUUGCUAACACUUCGCGCGCCGUGAUAAGUGUUCAUCAUUCGAUGGU